ensembl:lncRNA
CUUGAUUACCUUAAUCUGAGACUCUGUAGUCUAGAACUAGUUAAUCCAAAUUUAAGCAACAUCUCAGAAAGUCAGUUGUUUAGUGUGGAUUAAUUUAAGUAGAAUUAGCCUAGUCCUGGUUUAUUUUAAGCCCUUAACGGGAAACUGGGCCAUAAUGUAUAGUGACGCACAUAUAAGGCUCGCAUGUCCUGCUGCUCCACAUGUCUGUAGUCAGGGCAUAGUAAGUAACCUUCUCCAAUUCAGCAGCAAGCCACUCUCUCUCCGUAGUGUACAGUCGCGGGAGUUCUUGUCUAGCAAAGUAAUGCCGACUAGGUAAACUGUAUCUUAGAUCAAGUGUUUUUAGCAUGCGUAUAAAGCCACGUUGUUCAAUGACAGAAAUGGGUGCCAUGUCCACCGCUAUAUGAAAUGCCACAGACUCGGUAAUGCUACACCACCUUGCGCUCUUUCUUUCAUAUUCUACACUCCAUGUUAAAAAUUUGUGGAGUGUUAUCUGUGUAGUGUUUGUAGUGUGUGGAGUGUUGCCAGAGCUAGUGGGUUUAAUGGCCGGGAUCCUUAGUCUGGUGCACUCCUUGUAUGCGAGCUUGUGCCUUGUCUGUAAAUGGUGGAAAAGGUUUGUGGUGCUAGCACAGCACAGAGAAGGCAAACAAGCAAAGUGGCGGAAUCAGAAUUAAAUAUAAACAAUAUAUCGAUAUAUACGAUAUGUCAAAAUCCAUAUUCCGUAUUUUAAAUAACGAGAUAUCGCCCACCCCUAGUGUCCAUACAAUAUUUCUUAAGCAUUGACUUGAGUGUCUGAUGAAAGCGUUCAAGUGCGCCCUGGCUUUGCGGAUGGUACGCACUUGAAACUCGGUGAGAAAUUGCCAAAGACCCCAGAACUCCUUUAAACAAUCUUGGUAAAAAAUUUGUGCCCUUAUCAGUCUGCACUAUUUUAGGGAGUCCAAAAGUGGAGAAGAAUUUCACCAACGCCUUGAUGAUAACGGGUGCGGUGAUUUUCCUUAAAGGAAUGGCUUCCGGGAAUCGAGUAGCCACACACAUUAUAGUUAACAGAAACUGGUUACUGGUUAACUGGUUUUGGGUAACGGCCCAACGCAGUCUAUGAUUACAUGCUCAAAUGGCUCCCCAAUUACUGGUAUCGGGGACAGAGGAGCAGGUGGAAUCACUUGAUUCGGCUUCCCAACAGUCUGACAAGUAUGACAGGUAUGGCAUUACUGAGCAACAUCUUUUUUUAGACCCGGCCAAAAGAAGUGUUGUAAUAUUCUGUUGCAAGUCUUAGUAACUCCGAGAUGACCAGCAAGACAUGCUGACAAUACAGAGAAGGAACAACAACUUGAUAUAAAGCAUCCCAGUCUGAAUCCCUACUGUUUGAACACCACUUCCUCAUCAACAAGUCAUUGUCAAUAAAAUAAGCUGCUUUCUUGCCCUUAAUCCCAUCAAGAGAUACAACAGAAUUAAAAGGCGUAAUGAGGGAUUUGUCCUCUUUCUGUGCGGCACUUAUUUUCUCUCGUGAUACAGGUAAUUUCAAUGGCUCUGCAUCAAACACAUUUACACUGACUUUGUCUGACUUUAAAUUAUCUCGCUCUUGCGUGCAAGCAGCAGUAUGCAGUGAUUCGUCCCCAGCAAGGAGAGGAAAAAAGAAUGAGUCAGAUAAAUCAACCAUAUUACCCACUUUGCGUGACUGAGCGCGAGUAACCACACAUGCGGGAAAAACGCCAGGGUAAGUGUUAGACAAAUCUUCUGACUGGCAAAACACAUCAGGUUAACCAAAAACCUCUAACACAGGCAUCAUCUUCCCACCUG